rnacentral:rRNA from 1 species
AUUGAACGCUGGCGGCAUGCCUUACACAUGCAAGUCGAACGGCAGCACGGGUGCUUGCCCCUGGUGGCGAUUGGCGAACGGGUGAGUAAUACAUCGGAACAUGUCCUGUAGUGGGGGAUAGCCCGGCGAAAGCCGGAUUAAUACCGCAUACGAUCCACGGAUGAAAGCGGGGGACCUUCGGGCCUCGCGCUAUAGGGUUGGCCGAUGGCUGAUUAGCUAGUUGGUGGGGUAAAGGCCUACCAAGGCGACGAUCAGUAGCUGGUCUGAGAGGACGACCAGCCACACUGGGACUGAGACACGGCCCAGACUCCUACGGGAGGCAGCAGUGGGGAAUUUUGGACAAUGGGCGAAAGCCUGAUCCAGCAAUGCCGCGUGUGUGAAGAAGGCCUUCGGGUUGUAAAGCACUUUUGUCCGGAAAGAAAUCCUUGGCUCUAAUACAGUCGGGGGAUGACGGUACCGGAAGAAUAAGCACCGGCUAACUACGUG